UAGACGGGGAAGCGACAAUAAACUGGAGGCUGGCUUGACACCAGUGGAUCCCGUCAACUACUUCUUCCUCAUAACGGAGAUUUUGGGCCCAAUUUGAGGCUAAAUCUGCCCAAUAAAUCUGCUGUCAGACUGAUGUAGUCCUCCACCAGCCCUCCGCCUGCACCGGUACAGGCUAGAAGUCUUGUAGCCUCCCAGCAGCAGUGUGUCUGACACUGGGACCGUGAUGGGAAUUCCACCCAGAGCAGCUUCUACACUCCUGAACAGACCCAGCCUGGCUGGUCACCACUGGAGAGGAGUAGCUUCGCAGACUCACCCUAACAUCCCGGUUUACCUGAGGGCCUCCUGAUCUAACAGAAAAACCUGUAGCUCCAUCCUUGCUCUGCUUUCCACAUGUUUGUCAUCAUCUCUGGAAGCGACCUCCCACAACACUGUGAUGUUAUAUUUAAUUUUUUCAGGCUAAAUGAACCCAAGUAAUCUGCUGUCAGACUGAUUGUUGCAGCUACAAAUGGUCCAGACUAACAUGAAGCCUUGCAGGUGUAGUAAAGCUUAUUGCUACACGUGUGUUGCUGCUGUGAGCUUGGAGCUAGAUUACAUCAUGACAUCAUGAAGGAGGCGACUGAUUCUGGUCCUCUGACACUUGGCGGUGACGUGUGAGCUGAUUCACCUGCAGGACACUCAGCAAAAUAUGGACUCUACACCAUGAGGCAGGCACACGUUAAUACUCUAUAAGAGCACAUAAGCCUGGCUGAUCACCUGAUAACUCCUGUCAUCUGGUUAUGACAGCAUGAGGAUGUCCUCACACACCUGUAACCUAUCAGCUCAUCUGGCAGAAUAGAGAAGAGACAACACCACAUCUCCUGUUCCUGGAAAGCCUUCAGCCAUCCUUCGAUGACUGAGAACCUCCAUCAGUUCUGUCUCCUGUCUGCCUACAAUUAUUAUAAUAAAUAUUGUGUUUGACAAGU